AACGAACGCUGGCGGCAGGCUUAACACAUGCAAGUCGAGCGCCCCGCAAGGGGAGCGGCAGACGGGUGAGUAACGCGUGGGAACCUACCCUUUUCUACGGAAUAACGCAUGGAAACGUGUGCUAAUACCGUAUACGCCCUACGGGGGAAAGAUUUAUCGGAGAAGGAUGGGCCCGCGUUGGAUUAGCUAGUCGGUGGGGUAAAGGCCUACCAAGGCGACGAUCCAUAGCUGGUCUGAGAGGAUGAUCAGCCACAUUGGGACUGAGACACGGCCCAAACUCCUACGGGAGGCAGCAGUGGGGAAUAAUGGACAAUGGGCGCAAGCCUGAUCCGGCCAUGCCGCGUGAGUGAUGAAGGCCCUAGGGUUGUAAAGCUCUUUCACCGGAGAAGAUAAUGACGGUAUCCGGAGAAGAAGCCCCGGCUAACUUCGUGCCAGCCGCCGCGGUAA
rnacentral:rRNA from 1 species